UACGUAGGGGGCAAGCGUUGUCCGGAUUUAUUGGGCGUAAAGAGCGUGUAGGCGGCCAAGCAGGUCAGCUGUGAAAACUCGAGGCUCAACCUCGAGACGUCGGUUGAAACCGCUUGGCUAGAGUCCGGAAGAGGAGAGUGGAAUUCCCGGUGUAGCGGUGAAAUGCGCAGAUAUCGGGAAGAACACCCGUGGCGAAGGCGGCUCUCGUGGGACGGUACUGACGCUGAGACGCGAAAGCGUGGGGAGCGAACGAGG
rnacentral:rRNA from 1 species